AGGGAUUGGCCCGCACUUGGCAAUGUGAAGCCAGGCCAGAGGACAAACUUUGAAAAUUAUACUGCUUGAGAGUCUGCUCAGCUAGGAAUGUACGAAGAACCCCAGAUGGAAGGGAAUAUGGAAAAGCCCUCGAGUAUCGCGACGUUUCCCAGGAAUUUGACACAGAUUGCAAACUGCAGCGCUGCCUGUGUGGCUUCAGAGCUCGGACACACGUUGUUCUCUGCUGCGAUUUCUGUGCUUGCCACAUGCCUGCCUUCAGUGAUCAUGUUUUCUCAUUUAGUUCAGUCCUCGUGGAAGAAGUUGAACACAUAUCACAUUCUUCUAAGGUAAAGUUUAUUUCAGUCUUUAAAAUCGUCUAUGUUUUUUCUCUAGGACUUAUAAUCUUGAAAAAGUAUAAAGCAC